GAACACCAGAAUUCCUGCUAGUGAGGCAAGUGUCAGGACCCAGGCAGAGGAGCCUGCUCAUGGCUGGCACCUGGGAUCCAGCUGGAGGUGGUUGGCCCCUUGGGCACUC